rnacentral:misc_RNA from 1 species
GAUGAAGAACGUAGUGAAAUGCGAUAAGUAAUGUGAAUUGCAGAAUUCAGUGAAUCAUCGAAUCUUUGAACGCACAUUGCGCCCGCCAGUAUUCUGGCGGGCAUGCCUGUCCGAGCGUCAUUUCAACCCUCGAACCCCUCCGGGGGGUCGGCGUUGGGGAUCGACCCUUUACGGGGCCGGCCCCGAAAUACAGUGGCGGUCUCGCCGCAGCCUCUCCUGCGCAGUAGUUUGCACACUCGCAUCGGGAGCGCGGCGCGUCCACAGCCGUUAAACACCCCAAACUUCUGAAAUGUUGACCUCGGAUCAGGUAGGAAUACCCGCUGAACUUAAGCAUAUCAAUAAGCGGAGGA